UGUAAAUCUGCCGAACCCUAAAUUUACUCUCUCAUUGUCUUCCAACCAAAUCAGUUUGCUUUCCCUCUUCCAAUCGAGUUAAGUUUGCGGCUUCCCCCUUUUUCAACCAAGUUUCUUUCGCGCCCCUCCAUCAUUCCACCGUCUUGAGCCUCGCCUUUUCACCGUCGCGAGCCCUGUCACUAUCCCAUUGAGCUUCCAUCUGUCUUUCUCCGUCUUUCCAUCGAAGUUCCUCAGUCUUCACCCUCUUCAUAUCGAGUUUCGUUUGCGGCUUCUGGGGAACACUUUGAGUUUGACAAUUAAGCGAGGCUAGAAGAAAGCUUCGACAUGUUCACUAUCUCACUAAUGUGACCAAAGGAGGUGAAAUUGUGUUCCCGGUUGCAGAGGAAUGUUGAAGCUGCAUGGGUUCUGAAAACAGUAAUGUAUAUCACAACUUGCGAUUCCCUAGCCUGCUUUUUUCAGCCAAAUGAAACUGUAGUGAGUUUGGUUCUGUUCAUUGGACUCAGUUCCGGAUGAAACUCCGAGAAAGACUUCAAAUGAAGCGUCUUUGCUGAGAGUUACAAAGUCAAGCAGCUGCCCCCGAUAACUCUAGAUUGGAAGGUGGUGCUAAAUAAUUUGGGUGUGCAAAUAAAAUUGGGAAACUCAGCAAGAUAUCAAAGAAAAUGAUGAAGAGGAUGACGAUGCGAGUGACAAAUUUCAAGAGGACGAUGCUAGUGAUGAGUAUGACGUAGGUGACAAACUUUUAAGAGGAAGAGGAUAAUGGAGAUGAUGACGAGUUCGACAAACUUAGUUGAGUUGGAUGAUGUUGUUUCAGGCUUCUACUUAAGCAAUAAAUUUUAAAAAACUAUGUAUUUUGUCAUUUUGUUAGACGUAUAUUUCUAAGUUGCUAACUUAUAGUAUUAAGUUAAUGUUUGUGUUUACUAUUUGAGUUAAUGUUCGAAGGUUUAAUUAACAUAAAAUUUGUGGUACUUGCAAUUUAUGUUUAGUUUAAUUCUUGUUAGAAUUGUUUAUUUUAUGAAAAAUGUUCCAUGUAACUUAUAGAUAGU